AGUAUUAGGAACCGCGUGGCCGGCUAUGUACUUUACACAAUACGUAAGUCGUAAACGGUACGACGUCCGUUCGGUGCUGACGAGUGGCGAAGGUGAGUAUGCAGUCGGAACGUCGCCAGAGGGUGGGGAUAACGUACAGCGAAAGCUGUGCUAAUACCGCAUGUGAUCUGAGGAUGAAAGCGGGGGACCAAGCAGCAAUGUUUGGCCUCGCGCCUCUGGAGCGGCCGAUGUCAGAUUAGGUAGUUGGUGGGGUAAAGGCCUACCAAGCCGACGAUCUGUAGCUGGUCUGAGAGGACGACCAGCCACACUGGGACUGAGACACGGCCCAGACUCCUACGGGAGGCAGCAGUGGGGAAUUUUUGGACAAUGAGCGCAAGCCUGAUCCAGCAAUGCCGCGUGCGGGAAGAAGGCCUUCGGGUUGUAAACCGCUUUUGUACGGAACGAAAAGGCUCUGGCUAAUACCUGGGGCUGAUGACGGUACCGUAAGAAUAAGCACCGGCUAACUACGUG
rnacentral:rRNA from 1 species